UUUCUAGUCUGCUGCUGACAUUGGACAGAUCCAGGAACUGCAGUUACAGCUGGAGGAGGCUGUGAAGGAGAAGCACAAGCUCCAGGGACAACUGCAAGGGGCUCAGAUGCGUAUCCAGUUCCUGGAGCAAACCACCGUGGACCGCGCCAUUGUCAGCAGGCAGGAGGCGGCCAUCUGUGACCUGGAGAACAAGACCGAGUUCCAGAAAGUGCAGAUCAAGAGAUUUGAGGUCCUGGUGAUCCGGCUCCGGGACAGCCUGAUCAAGAUGGGUGAGGAGCUGUCCCAGGCCUCCACCGCCGAGGCCCAGCAGCGGGAGAACAGCCAGUAACUACCAGCGACGCCUGGGCGAGAUGAAGGUGGAGAUGGGGGAGCUGGUGCAGCGGGAGGCCGAGGCCAGCCGGCGGUGCCUGGAGCUGGUGAGUCCUCCCCCCUGGCAGGG